GUCUGAAAAUUCUUGUCAUCCCAAAAGAAAUGUCACUGCAUAUGUCAUGCGCUCUUAGAGGCUGGUAGUCAAUGACGGGUAAGAGGAAUACAGGAAAUCACCAACCUAAGACAGAGCAAGAGUACUGUGACACUCUUGACUCCAUGAUGGGUAAGGGAUUUCUUUAUAUUCCUCAUCUAAGACGGUCACAGCCUAUCUGCAUGAUCAAGAGACCUUGAUCAUAAUAUAUAAAACAGGGGGAGAUGUGGAGAGCGGUGUUAGCCAUAGAGGCUCCAUGUUAAAUCUUACCGUCCACUGUAUAAAGCAAGGAGACUAUGUUAUGAGGAACCGCACCCUUGCCAAAUUAGAUGUUUACCUUCAGAAAUUGUCCUGGAACAUGAUGGAUGAAUGUUUUGUAAACCCGAGAAACAAGAAAGCCCAUGAGGGUGGGGAAUUUCCAAAGAAUUAGAGAACAAGGAAGCAGGUAUCUUUGGAUAAGGGUCAUGAUGAAUAACCAAACUCACCUGUGAUAAAAAGGGGAGGAGAAUAAAAAAGCGGCGGCAGUCUCUCUGGGAGCCCUCCCGACUCUAUCUCUGCAUCUUUCUUUUUCUUCAUCCUCACUCCCCCAUUCAGGUGCUGUUCGACAAGUGACGGCUGGCUCUGUCACUUUGCUGUCCAGAAGGUUUUUAAUGUGAUGUGAUCCCAUUUGUUGAUUCUUGAUGUUAUUUCACAGUUGGGGUUCUGUUCAAAGAGUCCUUGUCUAUGUCUUUAAAAGUUUUAUCUAUUUCAUCUCCCAACAGAUUGUUUUUGUUUUAACAGUUAGGUCUUUGAUCCAUUUUGAUUUUAGUUCAGUACAUGGUGAGAUAUAAGGGUCUAGAUUCAAUAUUCCAAAUGUGGAUAACCAUUUUUUAAAAAAGGCUGUCUUUCCUCCCGUUUUUGGCCCCUUUGUCAAAGAUCCAAUAGCUGAGUAUGCCUGAGGUUGUUUCUGCAUCCUCUCUUCUAUUCCACUGAUCCACUGUCUGUUUUUGUGUAAGUACCAUUUUGUGUGAGUACUAUAUUUAUCACUGUAGCUUUGUAAGAUAACUUGAAAGCUGAAAUUAUGAUGCCUCUUGAUUUGCUAUUGUUCCCCAGGAUUGCUUUUGGUAUGUUGGGUCUCUUUUGGUUCCAUAUGAAUUUUAGGAUUCUUUUUUCUAGUCCUUUGAGGAAUGCUGUUGAUAUUUUAAUUGGAAUUACAUUAAAUCUGUAUAUUAGUUUUGGAAA